rnacentral:pre_miRNA from 14 species
CCAGCCCCCCAGAUUGCGUGCAUGGGGCUAUGACCUAUGGAUUGACAGCCAGUAUCGGAGCCUCGCCCUGGCUGUCUGUUCUAUAGGGCAUAGGACUGGGCGCACCNGUGGCGGGGGGCAGG